rnacentral:rRNA from 1 species
UACGGGGGGAGCAAGCGUUGUUCGGAUUUACUGGGCGUAAAGGGCGCGUAGGCGGUCAGCACAAGUCAGUUGUGAAAUCUCCGGGCUUAACUCGGAAAGGUCAACUGAUACUGUGCGACUAGAGUGCAGAAGGGGCAACUGGAAUUCUCGGUGUAGCGGUGAAAUGCGUAGAUAUCGAGAGGAACACCUGCGGCGAAGGCGGGUUGCGUGGGCUGACACUGACGCUGAGGCGCGAAGCCAGGGGAGCGAACGGG